AGAGUUGUAUCCUGGCUCAGAAGGAACGCUGGCAGCGUGCAUAACACAUGCAAGUCGAACGGUAGUAUUAUCUUCGGAUGAUAUGAGAGUGGCGAACGGGUGAGUAACACGUAAGAAUCUACCUUUAGGACGGGGAUAACUUCUGGAAACGGAUGCUAAUACCCGAUAUGCUGUGGAGUGAAAGGAAUUUCGCCUAAAGAUGAUCUUGCGUCUGAUUAGCUAGAUAGGGUGGUAAUGGCGCCCUAUGGCGACGAUCAGUAGCUGGUCUGAGAGGAUGGACAGCCACAUUGGGACUGAGACACGGCCCAAACUCCUACGGGAGGCAGCAGUGGGGAAUUUUCCGCAAUGGGCGAAAGCCUGACGGAGCGACGCUGCGUGAAGGAUGACGGCCUGAGGGUUGUAAACUUCUUUUCUCGAAGAAGAAUCAAUGACGGUAUUCGAGGAAUAAGCAUCGGCUAACUCUGUGCCAGCAGCCGCGGUAAGACAGAGGAUGCAAGUGUUAUUCGGAUUGAUUGGGCGUAAAGCGUCUGUAGGCGGUUUAGAAAGUCUUUUGUGAAAUACUUCAGCUCAACUGGGGCCCCGCAAAAGAAACUCCUAGACUUGAGGGGAGUAGAGGU
rnacentral:rRNA from 1 species